rnacentral:rRNA from 1 species
UGCCCAGACUCCUACGGGAGGCAGCAGUGAGGAAUAUUGGUCAAUGGGAGAGAUCCUGAACCAGCCAAGCCGCGUGAGGGAAGACGGUCCUACGGAUUGUAAACCUCUUUUGCCGGGGAGCAACGGGGUCCUUGCGAGGGCCCGAUGAGAGUACCCGGAGAAAAAGCAUCGGCUAACUCCGUGCCAGCAGCCGCGGUAAUACGGAGGAUGCGAGCGUUAUCCGGAUUUAUUGGGUUUAAAGGGUGCGUAGGCGGACGCUUAAGUCAGCGGUAAAAUUGCGGGGCUCAACCUCGUCGAGCCGUUGAAACUGGCAGUCUCGAGUUGGAGAGAAGUAUGCGGAAUGCGCGGUGUAGCGGUGAAAUGCAUAGAUAUCGCGCAGAACUCCGAUUGCGAAGGCAGCAUGCCGGCUCCACACUGACGCUGAGGCACGAAAGCGUGGGUAUCGAACAGGAUUAGAUACCCUAGUA